AAAUUGAAGAGUUUGAUCAUGGCUCAGAUUGAACGCUGGCGGCAGGCCUAACACAUGCAAGUCGAACGGUAGCACAGAGAGCUUGCUCUCGGGUGACGAGUGGCGGACGGGUGAGUAAUGUCUGGGAAACUGCCUGAUGGAGGGGGAUAACUACUGGAAACGGUGGCUAAUACCGCAUAACGUCGCAAGACCAAAGAGGGGGACCUUCGGGCCUCUUGCCAUCAGAUGUGCCCAGAUGGGAUUAGCUUGUUGGUGAGGUAACGGCUCACCAAGGCGACGAUCCCUAGCUGGUCUGAGAGGAUGACCAGCCACACUGGAACUGAGACACGGUCCAGACUCCUACGGGAGGCAGCAGUGGGGAAUAUUGCACAAUGGGCGCAAGCCUGAUGCAGCCAUGCCGCGUGUAUGAAGAAGGCCUUCGGGUUGUAAAGUACUUUCAGCGGGGAGGAAGGUGUUGUGGUUAAUAACCGCAGCAAUUGACGUUACCCGC
rnacentral:rRNA from 1 species